GACAUCCUCCGCGUCUUCUCACCACUCGCUUUCUUCGGACCCACGGAAGCCAUAUCUUAUUUUGCUGUAUUAAUGGCAACAGGUGGAGAAACGAGGAUCUCACUACCUUGCCCUUCACCAACUGACAUGACCUCUAAACCAUGAUGGCAGCCAUCACUUGUACAAAGCAGCAUUGAACCAACCUUCGUGUAAACACAUUCCAAUUGAUGACCUCAGUGAAAUUCCUAAGAUAUCAGUUAAUAGAAUGGAGGAUGGUAAGUUGAUACGAACAUUUUUUUUUUUUGCUGCAAUUGACAAAUAGCAUUUUUCGGGAGGUUUUGUGUUUGUGUAUUGAUGCAUUGUGAUCAAUGAUCACACAUACAUGAUGAAAAUAGCAGAUAAAGUAUCCUGAACACUGAAUUUUGUCCAGAAGAGGAGUCACCUUGUGCUUGCAGGAGCUCUGCACUGCUUCCUCUCUUGUUUUUUUUUUUCCUGUCUUGCCCGUGUCACGCCUCCCUUGCUUAUAGCUACUUCCUGCUGCCAUCCGCACGACCUUGUCGUCAUUGCUGCAAAUGCAAUUGUCUUUUGAUGUGGGCCGAGGCCCUCGAUAACCUCUGCGACAGACAUCGAUCAUCAUGUUCCUUUAUGACUACAGUACGAUGCAGUUUCCACUUUGCAAUUACUGUACAGUACAGCCU